rnacentral:rRNA from 1 species
UCCGCGCUGCAUUAGCUAGUUGGUAAGGUAACGGCUUACCAAGGCAACGAUGCAUAGCCGACCUGAGAGGGUGAUCGGCCACACUGGAACUGAGACACGGUCCAGACUCCUACGGGAGGCAGCAGUAGGGAAUCUUCCGCAAUGGGCGAAAGCCUGACGGAGCAACGCCGCGUGAGUGAUGAAGGUCUUCGGAUCGUAAAACUCUGUUAUUAGG